CUCAGGUAACUAUGGAGGACAGGACCCCUAUUUCCUCAGGUAACGAUGGAGACGGGACCCCUAUUCCCUCAGGUAACGAUGGAGGACGGGACCCCUAUUCCCUCAGGUAACUAUGGAGACGGGACCCCUAUUCCCUCAGGUAACGAUGGAGGACGGGACCCCUAUUCCCUCAGGUAACUAUGGAGGACGGGACCCCUAUUCCCUCAGGUAACGAUGGAGGACGGGACCCCUAUUCCCUCAGGUAACUAUGGAGGACGGGACCCCUAUUCCCUCAGGUAACUAUGGAGACGGGACCCCUAUUCCCUCAGGUAACGAUGGAGACGGGACCCCUAUUCCCUCAGGUAACUAUGGAGACGGGACCCCUAUUCCCUCAGGUAACUAUGGAGGACGGGACCCCUAUUCCCUCAGGUAACGAUGGAGAACACUUCACUGUACACGCCAGGGGUUGAGCUGAAUGUUUUAAAAUGACCAAGACUAUCCACCCCACCAAGAUAUUCACCUCACCAGAAACCUCUUCCUGCUCAUGUGGUUAAGGCUGGUCACCUGUGUGGGGACCGAGCCAGCACUCCUUGGUUGUUGUUUAACUUGUAUGUAUGAAGGAGAAUGUGUUAUUUCCACCACCAGGUGGCCUCAGAGUACUAGAAAUACAUUCACACUAACGUCUCACUGUGUUUUUAAAAGCUGCUGGAAUGCCCAGCUGAGGAUCUGCUGACAGCCUCAAUCUAAGAUUCUCUGACUUGGCUGUCAGCUUUCUUCCUAUUUGAGACGAGUGAUUGGAGAGAGGUGAUUGGCUAGGGAUGACCUAAUAACCUCCUGUGUUUUCUCCUCUGA